rnacentral:lncRNA from 1 species
GCUGCCCAUGGCUGGGACCACUGCCUCCAUUCCCAACACCCUGCUGGGGACCCCGCCUUCCAAAGAACAUGCCCCAGGCACACAGGUGAGCUCCCGCCAUGCACUCCCCGUGAAAGGGAAGCCGUCUGGAGGCAGUGUGGCACCUGAAGACGCUGGAGCUGCUGCUGUCAGGGACACACGCCCUGCCCAUUCAUCUGCCUUCUGCGCCGGGAGCCCCCGCAGAUGCGGAAGAUGCAGGGAAUGAUUCAGCCCCAGCCUUAAUGGUGAAAUUAGACCCAUUACAUCUUCUGGAGAAACUGGAAGGGGCUUGCAGUAGGUUGAAUGGUGGCCGCCCCAGAAGAUAUGUCCUUGGAACCUGCUAAUGAAACCUUACUUGAAAAAGGCAUCUUUGGGCCGGGCACAGUGGCUCACACCUGUAAUCCCAGCACUUUGCGAGGCCAAGGCCAGUGGAUCACCUGAAGUCAGGAGUUCAAGACCAGCCUGGCCAACAUGGCGAAAUCCCAUCUCUACUAAAAAUACAAAAAGUAUCUGGGUGUGGUGGUGGGUGCCUGUAACCCCAUCUACUCGGGAGCCUGAGGAAGGAGAAUAACUUGAACCUGGGAGGCAGAGGUUGCAGUGAGCCGAGGUCGCGCCACUGCACCCCAGCCUGGGCGACAGAGCGAGACUCCGUCUCAAAAAAAAAAAAAAAAAAAAAAAAAAAAAAAAAAAAAAAAAAAAGAGAGAGAGAGAAAGGCAUCUUUGUCAAUGUAUUUAAGUUAAGGAUCUUGAGAUGAGAUUAUCCUGGAUUGUCCAGUUAACCCUGAAUCCAGUGACAAGUGUCUUUAAAAGAGAUACACAGAGGAGAAGACAGACACAAAGAGAGAAGGUGAUGUGAAGAUGGGGGCAGAGAUUGGAGGGACGCAGCUACAAGCCAAGAAAACCAAGGAUUGCUGGCAGCCACCAGAGGCUGGGAGAGAGGCCUGGGUUGAGACGGCCUCAGAGCCUCCAGAGGGAGCCUGGUCCUGCUGACACCUCAGUUUUGGAGUUCUGACCUCCAGAACUAUGAGAAAAUAAA